rnacentral:rRNA from 1 species
GUUAAGCGACUAAGCGUACACGGUGGAUGCCCUGGCAGUCAGAGGCGAUGAAGGACGUGCUAAUCUGCGAUAAGCGUCGGUAAGGUGAUAUGAACCGUUAUAACCGGCGAUUUCCGAAUGGGGAAACCCAGUGUGUUUCGACACACUAUCAUUAACUGAAUCCAUAGGUUAAUGAGGCGAACCGGGGGAACUGAAACAUCUAAGUACCCCGAGGAAAAGAAAUCAACCGAGAUUCCCCCAGUAGCGGCGAGCGAACGGGGAGCAGCCCAGAGCCUGAAUCAGUGUGUGUGUUAGUGGAAGCGUCUGGAAAGGCGCGCGAUACAGGGUGACAGCCCCGUACACAAAAAUGCACAUGCUGUGAGCUCGAUGAGUAGGGCGGGACACGUGGUAUCCUGUCUGAAUAUGGGGGGACCAUCCUCCAAGGCUAAAUACUCCUGACUGACCGAUAGUGAACCAGUACCGUGAGGGA